UUGUUCAGUCCCCCUAGGUCCGUGCAGGUUACACAGUGGCACCCCAAACAGCGACAGGAUCGGAAGCUCUAUAAGUGGCACUCGAACAGGCGGCAGUCCAAACACGGGACUAUGAGGACGUGAACGAAGAAGGUCUGCUGGAGUAGAGGAACUGAAAUUGACAAGACGCACGGGGACUCCGGGAUGAGUCUGCCGAUAGCGUAUGUAAGACUCCAGCAGAAAGACAUUGACAAGUGUUAGAGGAAAAGAGGAAAGUUUAUCUGAAAGUGUUAUGGAAAUCCCUGGAAGAAGGACAAUGGAAAAGUCCGGUGGAUUUACUGACAUGGGGAAGAGAG
rnacentral:lncRNA from 10 species